UACGUAGGGGGCAAGCGUUGUCCGGAAUCAUUGGGCGUAAAGAGCGUGUAGGCGGCUCGAUAAGUCUGCUGUGAAAGUCCAGGGCUCAACCCUGGAAGGCCGGUGGAAACUGUCGGGCUAGAGUCCGGAAGAGGCGAGUGGAAUUCCCGGUGUAGCGGUGAAAUGCGCAGAUAUCGGGAGGAACACCAAUGGCGAAGGCAGCUCGCUGGGACGGUACUGACGCUGAGGCGCGAAAGCCAGGGGAGCAAAGCGGG
rnacentral:rRNA from 1 species